CCCACCCCACAGCCCCCUGCUAGCCCAGCCCAGCCCUGCCGGUGCCCCUCACUCCCGACCCACAGCUCCCUGCUAGCCCAGCCCAGCCCUGCUGCCCUGCCGGUGCCCCUCACUCCCGACCCACAGCCUCCUCCUAGCCCAGCCCUGCCCCCGAGUCCUGCCGGUGCCCCUCACUCCCGACCCGCAGCCCCUGCUAGCCCAGCCCUGGGCUCCCCCAGUCCCACCGGUGCCCCUCACUCCCGACCCGCAGCCCCCUGCUAGUCCGGCCCUGCCGGUGCCCCUCACUCCCGACCCGCAGCUGUCUCUGUGCUUUGGGGUGUGUACAAUAAAGGGGUCUGGCACGG